GGGGGCGAAGAGGGCUCGACGGGGAUAGGUAGGGUUAAACUGCAGGCCGUGGUCGCACCCCCCACGUUAAAUAGGGUGCAAAAACACAACUGCCGACGAAUACUCCUACGCUUUGGCAGCUUAAUAGAAAAAGCUGCCACGCAUCUUUAGACCUUGCCUGUGGGUCUAAAGGUGUGUGACCUAAACAGGCUUUGGCUAAAGGAAUUGGUAGGGUUCCUUUAGCCGAGAAAAAAACCUACCUGGUAGAAAGCUUAGGUGCCUGUGCCUGGCUUUCUACGAGAAAUCAAAACACAGGCUAAGCCUGUAGAAGUUUAACCUGAACUAUCUCCGGACGCGGGUUCAAUUCCCGCCGCCUCCACCA
rfam:Thermodesulfobacterium geofontis OPF15, complete genome.